GUACUUUCCUGGCAGGGGAGACACCUUGAUCAUGAAGGAGGUUUCCCCAGGGUGAGGCUCAUCCAUUGCACUGCGGGUGUGCUGACCCCUGUGAUUCCCCCCCCCCCCAAAAAAUAAAACAAAGUCCUCUAGCAUGAGUCAAGAAACUCAAAGCUGGCC